rnacentral:rRNA from 1 species
UACAGAGGUCCCGAGCGUUGUUCGGAUUUACUGGGCGUAAAGGGUGCGUAGGUGGCCGGGGAAGUCUGGUGUGAAAUCUCUGAGCUUAACUCAGAAAUGGCACUGGAAACUCUCUGGCUUGAGGAUCGGAAGGGAGACUGGAAUUCUCGGUGUAGCAGUGAAAUGCGUAGAUAUCGAGAGGAACACCAGUGGCGAAGGCGAGUCUCUGGACGAGCCCUGACACUGAGGCACGAAAGCUAGGGGAGCAAACAGG